GGGGUUGUGGCUCAGUGGUAGAGCGCUCGCCUCGCAUGCGUGAGGUCCUGGGUUCGAUUCUCAGCACCAACA
rnacentral:tRNA from 1 species